UGGAAUGUAAAAAAGAUCAAAACAUACUCAAAUCCUCUCGUGAUAAAAGUAAAACACAAGACCUACUAUCAGACAGCCUGAAAAUGCCAGAGAUAAUUAACAUGGAUUUAAAACAAAAAGCAACAAAAGAAAAAGAGAUCAUAGUCAUCUGUGGGGCCAUUCCCUUCAAUAUCUAUUAAGUUUAGAUCAUCAUUAGAAAAAAUAAGAAGGC
rnacentral:lncRNA from 1 species